GAUGAACGCUAGCUACAGUCUUAACACAUGCAAGUCGAGGGGCAGCAUGAAAGGAACUCUCGGUUCUUUUUGAUGGCGACCGGCGCACGGGUGCGUAACGCGUAUCGAACCUGCCUCAUACUCGGGGAUAGCCUUGCGAAAGUAAGAUUAAUACCCGGCGGUCUCGGAUGGCCGCAUGACUAUCCGAGUGAAGAUUUAUCGGUAUGAGAUGGCGAUGCGUCCCAUUAGCUAGUUGGUGAGGUAAUGGCUCACCAAGGCAUCGAUGGGUAGGGGUUCUGAGAGGAAGGUCCCCCACAUUGGAACUGAGACACGGUCCAAACUCCUACGGGAGGCAGCAGUGAGGAAUAUUGGUCAAUGGACGAAAGUCUGAACCAGCCAAGUAGCGUGCAGGAUGACGGCCCUCUGGGUUGUAAACUGCUUUUAGUUGGGAAUAAAAAGAGGGACGUGUCCCUUAUUGUAUGUACCAUCAGAAAAAGGACCGGCUAAUUCCGUGCCAGCAGCCGCGGUAAUACGGAAGGUCCAGGCGUUAUCCGGAUUUAUUGGGUUUAAAGGGAGCGCAGGCGGCGGCGUAAGUCAGUUGUGAAAUCGUGCGGCUUAACCGUGCAAUUGCAGUUGAUACUGCGUCGCUUGAGUGCACACAGGGAUGUUGGAAUUCAUGGUGUAGCGGUGAAAUGCUUAGAUAUCAUGAAGAACUCCGAUCGCGAAGGCAUAUGUCCGGAGUGCAACUGACGCUGAGGCUCGAAAGUGUGGGUAUCAAACAGG
rnacentral:rRNA from 1 species